rnacentral:pre_miRNA from 1 species
ACAUAAAUGGAUGAUCAAAGCAAGUGGUUUCUUGAGAUGGAAUCUACUCCUGGUGGAGAUGCUGUGAA